GCUUCCAUGGAACUUUCUAGGUUUCGUUCUUUGGAGCUUUCGCUGCUGUCGUCACUUGAUGGCAUCGGCAUGGCGUUGACGACCACUAGACUUAUGCAGCACGACACGAGCAAUAGCUGCGACAGACUGGCCCACUGGCCAUAAAGUAGGACGAGUCGCUCAAGGCACUUAGGUAAAUACCCUUGAAAGUAAAAACCUACCGCACAGCUUCUUAUUGAUGUCAGCACUGCUUUCAACCAUCAUGAGCGCCUCUUCCGGCUCUGCCGCCGCAUCUUCUUGCUCAGGUUAAUUCCUCCCUUGAUUGGUCUGGAGCAUCAAGUGAUGUCGAGGGGAAUUUUCUUAUCAAGGUGCUACAAGGAGGAAACGUCUAGGAGUAGUGCAGCCUACUGUCAACUAUUUUGUUCAAAAUCAUUGUAUAUUUUACUGAAUGUGCCAUUGAAAUGAUACAGGAUUCAUCAUAAUUGUCCGCUGUUUGUAUUGGACUUGCAAGAUUACCUACCCCAGCAUGGAUCAAUCGCUCAUUCCAUCUUCUAGAGAACCUUGGAUAACUGAUUGAUGGUUUCAUGUGUUCUAAACUGCUGGUUUCUAAAUUUGCAUGGCAGAUUUUAUGAAAAGUCCUGUCAUUUCAAGAAAAGUCAACAAGGUCUGUUGUUUGCUGACCUGUUGGCUGCUACCUUGAAUCCUCCUUGUUGACUUCUUUACACAGGCCCUCCUGAUUUGAGGGUAAUCCUUCGCUACUGAUCAUGGACUUCAUCCAUUGGUGACAACCGACGAGAGAAUACUGUAAUUGAAGACAGAUCAAUUGUUUAGUUAGAUCAAAUUACAAGUGCAUAUCUGGGCUCCCUUCUUUUCUGUGGCCCCGUUUCCCUAACUAACCACUAACCAACGCCCGCCGGUGGUCACUCACCCGCUGUGAACCCAGGAGGAGGGGAGGGCUCUGGUCG
rnacentral:lncRNA from 1 species